GCUCAGAUUGAACGCUGGCGGAAUGCUUUACACAUGCAAGUCGAGCGGCAGCGCGGGGCAACCUGGCGGCGAGUGGCGAACGGGUGAGUAAUGCAUCGGAACAUGUCCAUGUCGUGGGGGAUAGCCCGGCGAACGCCGGAUUAAUACCGCAUACGCCAGAGAGGGGAACGUGGGGGACCGCAAGGCCUCACGCGAUUGGGUUGGCCGAUGUCCGAUUAGCUAGUUGGCGGGGUAAGAGUCCACCAAGGCGAUGAUCGGUAGCUGGUCUGAGAGGAUGAUCAGCCACACUGGGACUGAGACACGGCCAAGACUCCUACGGGAGGCAGCAGUGGGGAAUUUUGGACAAUGGGGGCAACCAUGAUCCAGCCAUUCCGCGUGAGUGAAGAAGGCCUUCGGGUUGUAACGCUCUUUUGUCCGGAACGAACCGGUGCCAGUGAAUAUCGGGCGCUACUGACGGUACCGGAAGAAUAAGCACCGGCUAACUACGUGCCAGCAGCCGCGGUAAUACGUAGGGUGCGAGUGUUAAUCGGAAUUACUGGGCGUAACGCGUGCGCAGGCGGUUUUGUAAGCCAGAUGUGAACUCCACGGGCUUAACCUGGGAAUGGCAUUUGGGACUGCAAGGCUGGAGUUUGGCAGAGGAGACUGGAAUUCCAGGUGUAGCAGUGAACUGCGUAGAUAUCGGGAGGAAUACCGAUGGCGAAGGCAGGUCUCUGGGCUAUAACUGACGCUCAUGCACGAACGCGUGGGGAGUAACCAGGAUUAGAUACCAUGGUAGUCCACGCCAUAACCGAUGUCGACUGGUUGUUGGG
rnacentral:rRNA from 1 species